GACGAACGCUGGCGGCGUGCUUAACACAUGCAAGUCGUACGGUAAGGCCCUUUCGGGGGUACACGAGUGGCGAACGGGUGAGUAACACGUGAGUAACCUGCCCCCAACUUUGGGAUAACGCUAGGAAACUGGUGCUAAUACUGGAUAUGUGCUCCUGCUGCAUGGUGGGGGUUGGAAAGCUCCGGCGGUUGUGGAUGGACUCGCGGCCUAUCAGCUUGUUGCUGGGGUAGUGGCCUACCAAGGCGGCGACGCGUAGCCGGCCUGAGAGGGUGACCGGCCACAUUGGGACUGAGAUACGGCCCAGACUCCGACGGGAGGCAGCAGUGGGGAAUAUUGCACGAUGGGCGCAAGCCUGAUGCAGCAACGCCGCGUGCGGGAUGACGGCCUUCGGGUUGUAAACCGCUUUCAGCAGGGACGAAGCUUUUUGUGACGGUACCUGAAGAAGAAGCACCGGCUAACUACGUG
rnacentral:rRNA from 1 species